UCCUGGUUGAUCCUGCCAGUAGUUAUUGCUUGUCUCAAAGAUUAAGCCAUGCAUGUCUCAGUGCAAGCCGUAUUAAGGCGAUACCGCGAAUGGCUCAAUAUAUCAGUUUUGGUUCCUUAGAUCUUACUCAGUUACUUGGAUAACUGUGGUAAUUCUAGAGCUAAUACAUGCAAUCAGAACUCUGACCAGUGAUGGGAUGAGUGCUUUUAUUAGAUCAAACCAAUCGACGGAGGGCUCGCGUCCGAAGUCGUUAAUUUUGAUGAAUCUGGAUAACUUUUGCCGAUCGCAUGGUCCGUACCGGCGACGCAUCUUUCAAAUGUCUGCCUUAUCAACUUUCGAUGGUAGUUUCUGCGACUACCAUGGUUGUCACGGGUAACGGGGAAUCAGGGUUCGAUUCCGGAGAGGGAGCCUGAGAAACGGUACCACAUCCAAGGAAGCAGCAGGCGCAAAUUACCCACUCCCGGCACGGGAGGUAGUGACGAAAAAUAACGAUACGGGACUCUUACGAGGCCUCGUAAUCGGAAUGAGUACACUUUAAAUAUUUUAACGAGGAACAAUUGGAGGGCAAGUCUGGUGCCAGCAGCCGCGGUAAUUCCAGCUCCAAUAGCGUAUACUAAAAUUGUUGCGGUUAAAAAGCUCGUAGUUUCAUUUGUGCGCCGCGCUGUCGGUGCACCGCAUCCGCGGUGAUACUGACACGUCUGCGGAGCAUAUCGUCGGUGAGCCGUCGGUUAAACGUCGGUUCAAUAUCAAAAUCCUAUCGCGGUGCUCUUCAAUGAGUGUCGAGGUGGGCCGACAAUUUACUUUGAUAUACCUAGAUAAUUAUUAUGAGACUUGUCUUGUUUCUCUUAAUAUGUUAUUUAUAAGAAUUUUGUGGUGGCCCAGAGGUUUAAGAUAUCCUCUUCUCAUGAAUGAGAGUGUUGGUGCGAAACCUACCAAUGGCAAGUACCAAGGUGACUCUUGAUAUUAUGUACUUUGUUCGACAAUAGCCAUUUAUAGGCUGUUGAUGUGAUGUGAUUUACAAAUGAGUAUAGAUAUA
rnacentral:rRNA from 1 species